CUUUUUCUCUUGCUUCUUGCCUUGCCUGGGAUUACAAAUUUCUCCAAGGAAGAUUGGGGGUUUUGUUGGGGCUUCUGUUGCAAGGGUUUUGGAGGGUUUGGUGUUGUAUUUAUGUUUUGAACACUACUUGUGGGCGCUGGUAGGUAAUUUCCUGUGCUGGAUAGGCAGUCCUCUACAAAUACUGACAGCCAUUCUAAGCUAACAUCUACUUCCGUAUUCUGAGCAGAGAAAAGGUCAUCAAGAGAGCUAGUGAGUGUUAUAGCAGCACCAAGCUUAGAGCAGGAAGAAGGGGAUGGAAGGACUUGCUCCUGCUGGUGAUACUCACCGGAAACUGUCACAUU
rnacentral:misc_RNA from 1 species